CCGGUUGAUCCUGCCGGAGGCUACCGCUAUUGGAGUUCGAUUAAGCCAUGCGAGUCGCGAGUCUUAGGGACUCGGCGUACCGCUCAGUAACACGUGGGUAACCUGCCCUAUGCUGGGGGAUAACCUCGGGAAACUGAGAAUAAUACCCCAUAGUUCACCACGCCUGGAACGGUGGGUGGACCAAAGCUCCGGCGGCAUAGGAUGGGCCUGCGGCGUAUCAGGUUGUAGGGGGUGUAAUGUACCCUCUAGCCCUCUACGCGUACGGGUGUUGAGAGACAUCGCCCGGAGAUGGAUUCUGAGACACGAAUCCAGACCCUACGGGGUGCAGCAGGCGCGAAAACUUGGCAAUGCGAGAAAUCGUGACCAGGGAACUCCAAGUGCAUCGGGUAAGACCGAUGCUUUUCUUGACUCUUCAAAGGUCUUGGAAUAAGGGGUGGGUAAGGACGGUGCCAGCCGCCGCGGUAAUACCGGCGCCCCAAGUGGUAGUCGCUUUUAUUGGGCCUAAAACGUCCGUAGCCGGUCUGGUACAUUCGUGGGUAAAUCAACCAGCUCAACUGGUUGAAUUCUGCGAGCACGGCCAGACUUGGGACCGGGAGAGGUGUGGGGUACUCUCAGGGUAGGGGUAAAAUCCUGUCAUCCUGAGAGGACCACCUGUUGCGAAGGCGCCACACUAGAACGGAUCCGACGGUCAGGGACGAAGCCUAGGGGCACGAACCGGAUUAGAUACCCGGGUAGUCCUAGGUGUAAACGCUGUGGACUUGAUGUUGGGGGCGCUCCGAGCGCACUCAGUGUCGAAGCGAAGGUGAUAAGUCCACUGCCUGGGGAGUACGGUCGCAAGGCUGAAACUUAAAGGAAUUGGCGGGGGAGCACCGCAACCUGAGGAUUGUGCGGUUUAAUUGGAGUCAACGCCG
rnacentral:rRNA from 1 species